rnacentral:rRNA from 1 species
GCUUGUCUCAAGAUUAAGCCAUGCAUGUCUAAGUAUAAACGACUUUAUACAGUGAAACUGCGAAUGGCUCAUUAAAUCAGUUAUAGUUUAUUUGAUAAUACCUUACUACUUGGAUAACCGUGGUAAUUCUAGAGCUAAUACAUGCAUUAAACCCCGACUUCUGGAAGGGGUGUAUUUAUUAGAUGGAAACCAAUGCGGGGUAACCCGGAAUAUGGUGAUUCAUAAUAACUUUCGGAUCGAUUUAUCGAUGCAUCAUUCAAGUUUCUGCCCUAUCAGCUUUGGAUGGUAGGGUAUUGGCCUACCAUGGCUUUAACGGGUAACGGAGAAUUAGGGUUCGAUUCCGGAGAGGGAGCCUGAGAAAUGGCUACCACAUCCAAGGAAGGCAGCAGG